rnacentral:rRNA from 1 species
GCGGCGUGGAUAAGACAUGCAAGUCGAACGCUGGAUUGUGUGUAGCAAUACUCGCAGUCCGGAGUGGCGUAAGGGUGCGUAACACGUGGGUAAUUUGCCUGGAAGCCCGGGAUAACUCCGAGAAAUCGGAGCUAAUACCGGAUGUGAUCAAUGGCUGGCAUCAGUUGUUGCUCAAAGUCGGGGACCGCAAGGCCUGACACUUCCAGAUAAGCCCGCGGCCUAUCAGCUAGUUGGCGGGGUAACGGCCCACCAAGGCUAAGACGGGUAGCUGGUCUGAGAGGACGACCAGCCACACUGGAACUGAGACACGGUCCAGACACCUACGGGUGGCAGCAGUCGAGAAUUUUUCACAAUGGGGGAAACCCUGAUGGAGCGACGCCGCGUGGGGGAUGAAUGGCUUCGGCCCGUAAACCCCUGUCAUUUGCGAACAAACCUGGUGGUUGAACAGACUGCCAGCUGAUAGUAGCAGAAGAGGAAGGGACGGCUAACUCUGUGCCAGCAGCCGCGGUAAUACAGAGGUCCCAAGCGUUGUUCGGAUUCACUGGGCGUAAAGGGUGCGUAGCGGUGGGGUAAGUUUGAGGUGAAAUCUUCCGGGCUCAACCCGGACAAGCCUUUGAAUACUAUUCUUGCUAAAAGGAUCGGAGGGGAGACUGGAAUUCUCGGUGUAACAAUGAAAUGCCGUAGAUAUCGAGAGGAACACCAGUGGCGAAGGCGAAUCUUUUGGACGAUACCUGACGCUUAAGGCACCAAAGCCAAGGGGAACAAACGGGAUUAGAUACCCCGGUAGUCU